rnacentral:misc_RNA from 1 species
CUAACAACCCUUUAGAAAAAGAAUGGACCUAUUGAUUCACCUGAUUCAGCAUCGAACAAUAAGAUUUAGUCAAGAUUUAAGUACAUUUGCAAUUCAGCCCACAAAUUUGAAUCGCUAGGAUAGGGAAUCAAAUUGAAUAGUACAUACGAUUCUAACAACAAUGGAGUACAAUCAUAACGACAAACUUCAUAUCCUCAGUUAUUCAUGGACUUCACUCAUGCUGAAUUUUGGGUCAAUACAGUGUACAUUUAAGAUGGUCUCAUGCUUUGUCCUCUGUUGCCAUGUCCACACACAAGAGUUACAUCCACAUGCCCAAGAUGUUGAAGAAUUGUUUAACAAGUGAAUCACUACAACAGGAGCACAAGUAUAUCUUGCUUCUCAUAUCACAAAAAUUGGAGGAAACAAUUGUCCAAAAGGUUUUAGAUGAGGCACAUGUGCCAUAACAACCUUUAGAUAAUGCUAAGCCAGUCAGGAUUAAUUUUAGGGUUGAAUCACCGUGAAGAUAGAAUGUGUUCGUUUCAGAAAUUUGAAUGUUUUCAAAUUCCCUGUUUUAGAUCCUCUAUAUUGUCAUUUUAGGUCUGCAGAUCCUUUUCAUCGAUAGGACUCUGAAAGCAACUCACUUCUGCAACUUAUUUAUAUCUUGAUCACACAAGUCAAACAUAAUAAUAUAAAUAUAUAAUAAAGCAUUUGUUUAUAACAUCUAAAGGUUACAGUCCUAUAUUUUAUUAUUUUGUAACGUGGCAGAUUAUGGAUCAAAACAAACAACCAUUCCAUGCAUACUUUUGGUAAACAUGCUUCUUCUCAUGAAG